UAAUAAGCGGAGGAAAAGAAACUAACUAGGAUUCCCUUAGUAACGGCGAGUGAACCGGGAUGAGCUCAAAUUUGAAAUCUGGCGUCUUUCAGGCGUCCGAGUUGUAAUCUAUAGAGGCGUUUUCCGCGCCGGACCGCGUCCAAGUCUCUUGGAAUAGAGUAUCAAAGAGGGUGACAAUCCCGUACUUGACGCGACAACCGGUGCUCUGUGAUACGUUCUCAAUGAGUCGAGUUGUUUGGGAAUGCAGCUCUAAAUGGGUGGUAAAUUCCAUCUAAGGCUAAAUAUUGGCGAGAGACCGAUAGCGAACAAGUACCGUGAGGGAAAGAUGAAAAGCACUUUGGAAAGAGAGUUAAACAGCACGUGAAAUUGUUAAAAGGGAAACGAUUGAAGUCAGUCGUGUGGGAAGUAUUCAGCCGUCUCUGGCGGUGUAUUUGCUUCUCACGGGUCAACAUCAGUUUGAUCCGGUAGAAAAAGGCGGGAAGAAGGUGGCACCCUCGGGUGUGUUAUAGCUUCCUGUCAUAUGUGCCGGACCAGACUGAGGAACGCAGCUUGCAGCAAUGCCGGGGUUCGCCCACGUACAAGCUUAGGAUGUUGACAUAAUGGCUUUAAACGACCCGUCUUGAAACACGGGACCA
rnacentral:rRNA from 1 species